rnacentral:rRNA from 1 species
UACGUAGGGUGCGAGCGUUAAUCGGAAUUACUGGGCGUAAAGCGUGCGCAGGCGGUUUUGCAAGCCGGAUGUGAAAUCCCCGGGCUUAACCUGGGAAUGGCAUUUGGGACUGCAAGGCUGGAGUGCGGCAGAGGAGACUGGAAUUCCUAGUGUAGCAGUGAAAUGCGUAGAUAUCAGGAGGAACACCGAUGGCGAAGGCAGGUCUCUGGGCUGACACUGACGCUCAUGCACGAAAGCGUGGGGAGCAAACAGG